rnacentral:rRNA from 1 species
CACGUAGGGGGGCAAGCGUUGUCCGGAAUCAUUGGGCGUAAAGAGCUCGUAGGCGGCUCAGUAAGUCGGGUGUGAAACCCUCAGGCUCAACCUGGGGACGCCACCCGAUACUGCUGUGGCUAGAGUCCAGUAGGGGAGUGUGGAAUUCCCCGGUGUAGCGGUGAAAUGCGCAGAUAUCGGGAGGAACACCAGCGGCGAAGGCGGCACUCUGGGCUGGUACUGACGCUGAGGAGCGAAAGCGUGGGGAGCGAACAGG